rnacentral:rRNA from 1 species
UAUUGGUCAAUGGACGAGAGUCUGAACCAGCCAAAUCGCGUGAAGGAAGACUGCCCUACGUUUUGUAAACUUCUUUUGUACAGGAAUAAAAGUCAUUACGUGUAGUGUAUUGCAUGUACUGUACGAAUAAGCAUCGACUAACUCCGUGCCAGCAGCCGCGGUAAUACGGAGGAUGCGAGCGUUAUCCGGAUUUAUUGGGUUUAAAGGGUGCGCAGGCGGGAUUUUAAGUCAGCGGUGAAAUUUUCAGGCUCAACCUGAACACUGCCGUUGAAACUGGGAUUCUUGAGUAUGGAUGAAGUAGGCGGAAUUCGUUGUGUAGCGGUGACAUGCUUAGAUAUAACGAGGAACUCCGAUUGCGUAGGCAGCUUACUAAGCCAUAACUGACGCUCAAGCACGAAAGCGUGGGGAUCAAACAGG